rnacentral:misc_RNA from 1 species
AGGAUAGAGAGAGUUGGGAAUCUAGCCUAUGGCCCAAAGCGCUUGCACAUGAUCGAGUCAUGCAUAUUUUCAAAGAGAACAUGGUAAAUAUCCUGAGAGAUUUUUACCUUCAAUAAGCUUUAAUUACAGGGUAGUGGGCACUUUUCUGACGUCUGAUGCUUACAAAGAGAUGGAGCUAUAGGAGAACUAUUAAAUUAGCCUUUUCGAAAUGACGAGUUAGAAUACAAUCCCUUUGAAGGAGGUUAGGAUUUUUCAAUAGGAAAUGUGAGACCUCUAAGAACUGUCGUUUUAAGAGUGAGGAAAUUCUUUAGAAAACUGAAAUUUCUAAAGAGCCUUUCUCUAUUCUCUUUCCUUCUAUUUUUGAAACUUCAGAAAAGGACCCCUUUAAUAGUAAAACUUCAGGUGUUU